UACGAGGGGGGCGAGCGUUGUUCGGAAUUAUUGGGCGUAAAGGGUGCGUAGGCGGUUUGGUAAGUCUUAUGUGAAAUCUACAGGCUCAACUUGUAGUCUGCAUGAGAAACUGCCGGGCUUGAGUAUGGGAGAGGUGUGUGGAAUUCCUGGUGUAGCGGUGAAAUGCGUAGAUAUCAGGAGGAACACCUGUGGCGAAAGCGGCUCACUGGACCAUAACUGACGCUGAUGCACGAAAGCUAGGGGAGCAAACAGG
rnacentral:rRNA from 1 species